GGGGGUGUAGCUCAGCGGUUAGAGCAGCGGGCUCAUAACCUGUUGGUCGCUGGUUCGAUCCCAGCUACCCCCACCA
rnacentral:tRNA from 1 species